rnacentral:lncRNA from 1 species
CCAGUUUUGCCCAUGUUUUUAAUCCACAGACUGUUUAAUAUGAGAUGUCUUAUUUGAAUGUUAGGAUCCUGUUCAGACACAAUACAUUUUUUAUUUAAAUUUUGUACUAGAAUGCCCAAAGUGGGAAGUCAACAUGAAAAUUGGAAUCAAGAUACUAAUACCACUCGAGUGUUCUUAGGAGCAAAUAUAAAGUCUCUGGAGAGAUAAAGCCAAAACCCAGGACUCAAGAUGAGAUUCUAAUAAAAGAUAGAAGACAUAGGUAUCAUAGGAAGAAUCAAUAAGACACAGACCUGGAUUAUACCUUUAAGAUAUUGAAAUGAUAGAAUGAUAAUAUCAAAGAUUUUAUAAAUUGAAUAUAUAGUGGAAAUAUUCAAGACCUAAGAGAGAAGCUCAACACAUCAAAGAAAGAAUAGGAUAUUUUGAAAAAUGAGUAGACAAGUUGGAAAAAGAAGUG